UUGUACCCAAACCAAUCUUUGACUUCAAAAUUAAAUAAAAAUAAUCAUCGGAUAAUGCAUAGUGGGAAGAGACCUCUUUCACCAGAAUCAAUGGCCGGAAAUAGAGAAGAGAAAGAAGAAACGUUGUGUGGUUGCUCAACUUUGUCGGAGUCUGAUGUGUCUGCUUUUGUCUCUGAACUCACUGAUCAACCCAUCCCACCAUCCAUGGAUCAAUCAUCUUCUCUUACUCUUCAAGAACAAAGUAACUUGAGACAACGAAACUACAGAGGUGUGAGGCAAAGACCGUGGGGAAAAUGGGCGGCCGAGAUUCGUGACCCAAACAAGGCAGCUCGUGUGUGGCUUGGGACGUUUGACACUGCAGAAGAGGCCGCCUUAGCUUAUGAUAAAGCUGCAUUUGAGUUUAGAGGCCACAAGGCCAAGCUUAAUUUCCCGGAGAACAUUCGUAUCAACUCUACUCAACUUAUCUAUCCAUCAACUGCUACGUCCCAUGCUAGCAUUAUCGUGACGCCACCUCCAGCUAUUGCUCCUGACAUGCUUCUCGAUCAAUACGGCCAAUUUCAAUCUAGAAAUUGCGAUUAUGGUGCCAACUUAUCAUUGACUAUGUCUUCUUCUACGUCGUCAUCUUUGAACCAUCAAGGAGAUAGACAAAAUUUGGAGGAUGAUGAAACCGUGAAGAACAUUAGUAUCCACAAACGAAGAAAAUAGCAUAUUAAUGGCAUUAUAUGCCUCUCCGAACAAGUUAUAUCAAACGCAUUAACCGUUGAUGUAAUCCGACGGCUUUGAUCCUCUAAGCCAUUACUUAAUCUCUUUACGACUUCCUUUUGGUAGUCUUUAAAGAGUCUAUGGAGUGCAUAUAGCUAGGAUUCAGGCCUUAUGGAUGCAAAAUAAUCUUAAGCACCCUGAAUAUGCAAGAAGGGAUGAAGAAGACUUGGAGAAAAAGAAAGAUAUGUCUUGGACAACGUCCUGAUCGGUCAAGUCGACCAACGGAUAGACCGCCUGGAUAUAUAUGUAAUGCGUUUGUGUCUAUUAGAAGAGGUGCAGACAAAAUGGUGGGGAGACUUGUCUGAGAGCAUUUGCAUCGGCGUAUGAAUGGGCUGUCCGAUGCAAUUAAAUGAUUUAAUUUAAAUCUAAAUUCGACAUAUAUCGAAGGAACGUUCCUUCAUAGGGGACAUUUCUUUCUCCGUCCUUCGUUACACGUGUCUGCGUGUGAGAUGUUUGUGUUAUUUCUCCGACUUGUUUUGCCGGCAAAAGCAUCCAACCCCAACGAGUUCGGUCCAAAACCCCUGUUUUGUCUGCGGCUGCGGCUUUGCAUACAUCGAGCAACGAUAGUUCUUGGUGUCAUCAUGAUUCACUGCCUGGAGAGUUUCUUGAUUUUCCUGAAACCCACGCGGCGAUUCAAAACAGCAGUCAUGUGGAGGAUGGUGGCAUUGGUGCUGCGUUUGAUGACAUUCAAAAACGAAGUGAUUGGCAUGAUUGGGCUGACCACUUGAUCACCGAUGAAGAUCCGAUUGUUCAGCAGCAACCUUCGCCAUCCGUGGAGUUACGACCUAUUAGCACAACAUCUUCAAAUAGCAAUAACGGAACGGGCAAGGCUCGUAUGCGUUGGACUCCAGAGCUUCACGAGGCUUUUGUUGAGGCUGUCAACAGUCUUGGUGGCGGUGAAAGAGCUACUCCUAAAGGUGUACCGAAGAUAAUGAAAGUUGAAUGAUCCACUUGAAGAAGCAAAGAGAAUCAUGGACAACCAAUGCUCAUACCAAAAAUUGAAGGACCAAAAAUAAGAAUAAAAUAUUUGAAGGACCAAAAAUUGUCCUUCACCGAUGCACAUGGCCUGAGUUAAUCAAAGGUUUACUUGUUGACUUGUUUCUUCCACUUGGAAUUAGAAUGCAAAUAGAAAACCUUUUUAAAAUUUUAACAUACGGUGACAUGUUUUUUCACUCA